UACGUAGGGUGCGAGCGUUAAUCGGAAUUACUGGGCGUAAAGCGUGCGCAGGCGGUGAUGUAAGACAGAUGUGAAAUCCCCGGGCUCAACCUGGGAACUGCAUUUGUGACUGCAUCGCUGGAGUGCGGCAGAGGGGGAUGGAAUUCCGCGUGUAGCAGUGAAAUGCGUAGAUAUGUGGAGGAACACCGAUGGCGAAGGCAGCCCCCUGGGUCAAGACUGACGCUCAUGCACGAAAGCGUGGGGAGCAAACAGG
rnacentral:rRNA from 1 species